GACGAACGCUGGCGGCGUGCCUAAUACACGCAAGUCGAGCGGACUUUUUAAAAGCUUGCUUUUAAAAAGUUAGCGGCGGACGGGUGAGUAACACGUGGGCAACCUGCCCUGUAGACUGGGAUAACAUCGAGAAAUCGGUGCUAAUACCGGAUAAUUGUUGGAACUGCAUAGUUCUAACUUAAAAGGUGGCUCCGGCUAUCACUAUAGGAUGGGCCCGCGGCGCAUUAGCUAGUUGGUAAGGUAAUGGCUUACCAAGGCGACGAUGCGUAGCCGACCUGAGAGGGUGAUCGGCCACACUGGGACUGAGACACGGCCCAGACUCCUACGGGAGGCAGCAGUAGGGAAUCUUCCGCAAUGGACGAAAGUCUGACGGAGCAACGCCGCGUGAGUGAUGAAGGUUUUCGGAUCGUAAAGCUCUGUUGUUAGGGAAGAACAAGUGCCGUUCGAAUAGGGCGGCACCUUGACGGUACCUAACCAGAAAGCCACGGCUAACUACGUG
rnacentral:rRNA from 1 species